rnacentral:RNase_P_RNA from 1 species
GUGAGUGGAAUAGUCAACUUACGGGAUUCAGUCAUUAAAUUGAUAUAUUUUCAAGAUAUAUGAAAGUAGAAUUCUGAGGAAGGUCUGCCCAUCUUUAUGGAAAAUUUCCAUAUGACAGAACCAUCCAUGAAAAUGGAUUGUCGCGAGGCAAAGCUCUAUUACAGAAACGACACAGCUCUGUUCAAGCAAUGAACUCUUGGAGGAAGCAUUAUAAAGAACAGAGACUUGAUGAAACGGGUAUCUUGGUUGAUGCAAGGUUAAAAAACCGCUUAGUCGAAUGUUGACACAAACCGUCCAUAAAAUCUGUGGGGUUUGACAGAAGGUGGCCUAUUUUCCACUCAC